AGUGAAGAGGGAAGAGCCCAAGAUUGAAAGCUGGCGUCUUCGGCGUCCGCAUUGUAAUCUCAAGAAGCMUUUUCCGCUUCGGACCAAGCCUAAGUCCCUUGGAAAAGGGCAUCGUAGAGGGUGAGAAUCCCGUACAUGGCUUGGAGCGCCCGAGGCUUUGUGAUAUGCAUUCUAAGAGUCGAGUUGUUUGGGAAUGCAGCUCAAAAUGGGUGGUAAAUGCCAUCUAAGGCUAAAUAUUGGGGAGAGACCGAUAGCGAACAAGUACCGUGAGGGAAAGAUGAAAAGAACUUUGAAAAGAGAGUUAAACAGUACGUGAAAUUGCCAAAAGGGAAGGGUAGGAGGUCAGAGAUGCGGCGUGGGAUUCAGCCUUGCUUUUGCUUGGUGUUUUUCCCUCAUUGCAGGCCAACGUCGGUUUUGGGCACUGGAGAAUGGUGAGAGGAAUGUGGCACCCUUCGGGGUGUGUUAUAGCCUCUCACUGGAUACAGCGACCGGGACCGAGGAACGCAGCGUACUCGAAAGAGCGGGCCUUCGGGCACCUUUACGCUUAGGGCGUUGGCAUAAUGGCCCUCUACCACCCGUCUUGAAACACGGACCAAGGAGUCUAACAUGUAUGCGAGUCUUUGGGUGGCAAACCCACAGGCGCAAUGAAAGUGAAUUCAGAUGGGAUCCGCAAGGUGCACCAUCGRCCGAUCCUCACGUCUUUUAAGUCGUGGAUUUGAGUAAGAGCAUACCUGUUGGGACCCGAAAGAUGGUGAACUAUGCCUGAAUAGGGCGAAGCCAGAGGAAACUCUGGUGGAGGCU
rnacentral:rRNA from 1 species